AGACAAGAAGAUAUGACGGUAUCUAAGGAAUAAGCAUCGGCUAACUCCGUGCCAGCAGCCGCGGUAAGACGGAGGAUGCAAGCGUUAUCCGGAAUUAUUGGGCGUAAAGCGUCUGUAGGUGGUUUACUCAGUCCGCUGUGAAAGAUCAGGGCUUCACCCUGAACACGCGGUGGAAACCGGUAGACUUGAGUACGGUAGGGGCAGAGGGAAUUCCCGGUGGAGCGGUGAAAUGCGUAGAGAUCGGGAAGAACACCAAUAGCGAAAGCACUCUGCUGGGCCGUAACUGACACUGAGAGACGAAAGCUAGGGUAGCGAAUGGGAUUAGAUACCCCAGUAGUCCUAGCCGUAAACGAUGGAUACUAAGUGCUGUGCAUUCGACCAGUACUGUAGCUAACGCGUUAAGUAUCCCGCCUGGGGAGUAUGCUCGCAAGAGUGAAACUCAAAGG
rnacentral:rRNA from 1 species